rnacentral:rRNA from 1 species
GUGUCAGCAGCCGCGGUAAUACGGAGGAUCCAAGCGUUAUCCGGAAUCAUUGGGUUUAAAGGGUCCGUAGGCGGCCUUAUAAGUCAGUGGUGAAAUCUCCUAGCUCAACUAGGAAACUGCCAUUGAUACUGUAGGGCUUGAAUUUUGGUGAAGUAACUAGAAUAUGUAGUGUAGCGGUGAAAUGCUUAGAUAUUACAUGGAAUACCAAUUGCGAAGGCAGGUUACUAACCAACGAUUGACGCUGAUGGACGAAAGCGUGGGGAGCGAACAGGAUUAGAUACCCUGGUAGUCCACGCCGUAAACGAUGGAUACUAGCUGUUUGGUUUUCGGACUGAGUGGCUAAGCGAAAGUGAUAAGUAUCCCACCUGGGGAGUACGCACGCAAGUGUGAA